GACGAACGCUGGCGGCGUGCCUAACACAUGCAAGUCGAACGGAAAGGCCCUGCUUUUGCGGGGUUCUCGAGUGGCGAACGGGUGAGUAACACGUGAGUAACCUGCCCCUGAAUUUGGGAUAACUUCAGGAAAAUGGGGCUAAUACAGGAUAGGAGCUCCUGCUGCAUGGUGGUGGUUGGAAAGUUUCGGCGGUUGUGGAUGGACUCGCGGCUUAUCAGCUUGUUGGUGGGGUAGUGGCUUACCAAGGCUUUGACGGGUAGCCCGCCUGAGAGGGUGACCGGCCACAUUGGGACUGAGAUACGGCCCAGACUCCUACGGGAGGCAGCAGUGGGGAAUAUUGCACAAUGGGCGGAAGCCUGAUGCAGCAACGCCGCGUGCGGGAUGACGGCCUUCGGGCUGUAAACCGCUUUCGCCUGUGACGAAGCGUGAGUGACGGUAAUGGGUAAAGAAGCACCGGCUAACUACGUG
rnacentral:rRNA from 1 species